CCAAUAGCGUAUAUUAAAGUUGUUGCAGUUAAAAAGCUCGUAGUUGAAUUUCGGGGUCAGUAGGUUGGUCAUGCCACUGGUAUGUACUGGUCUCACUGAUUCCUCCUUCCUGAUGAGCCGUAAUGCCAUUAAUUUGGUGUUGCGAGGAAUCUGGACUGUUACUUUGAAAAAAUUAGAGUGUUUAAAGCAGGCUAACGCUUGAAUACAUUAGCAUGGAAUAAUGAAAUAGGACGUUCGAUCUUAUUUUGUUGGUUUCUAAGAUUGACGUAAUGAUUAAUAGG
rnacentral:rRNA from 1 species